rnacentral:tRNA from 3 species
GUCUCAGUAGCUCAAUUGGAUAGAGCAUCCCCCUCCUAAGGGGAAGGUUGGUGGUUCGAACCCACUCUGGGACGCCA